AUUGAACGCUGGCGGCAGGCCUAACACAUGCAAGUCGAACGAGUGGCGGACGGGUGAGUAAUGUCUGGGAAACUGCCUGAUGGAGGGGGAUAACUACUGGAAACGGUAGCUAAUACCGCAUACCAUCAGAUGUGCCCAGAUGGGAUUAGCUCGUUGGUGGGGUAACGGCUCCACAAGGCGACGAUCCCUAGCUGGUCUGAGAGGAUGACCCGCCACAACGGAACUGAGACAAGGCCCCGACUCCUACGGGAGGCAGCAGUGGGGAAUAUUGCCCAAUGGGCGCAAGCCUGAUGCAGCCAUACCGGGUGUAUGAAGAAGGCCUUCGGGGUGUAAAGUACUUUCCGGCGGGAGGAGUUACCCGCAGAAGAAGCACCGGCUAACUCCGUGCCAGCAGCCGCGGUAAUUC
rnacentral:rRNA from 1 species